rnacentral:rRNA from 1 species
AUGGCCCGCUUCACCUCCGCGCCCGACCGGCGUGCCGCGCUCGACAGGGGUGACCCGGACUGGUCCAUCAACCACGCCCGCGCCCUCGCUUCAAACCGGCCUCCGCCACCGUCCGACCCCAAACCGGCGACCGAAGAGCCGUCGUCUGGGUCAUGGCCCGCCUCAGCGUCGACAACCUUGGCCCACCUGUUCCGAGCAGCCACGGCCCACGGCCUUCCAUCGCCGUUGGGCCGGUUGUGGCCUCCGAGUCACCGCCGAGCAGUGCCGCCUUUACCUUAG